GUGAUCUACCUGCCUCAGCCUCCCAAAGUGCUGGGAUUACAGGCGUAAGCCACCGCGCCCGGCCACCUCACAGGUUUUAACGUGCAUCUACAUCACCCUGGGAUCUUGUGUCAAUGCAGGUCCUGAUUCAGUAGGUUCAGGAGGAGCCUGAUUCUGCUCGUCCAAGCUGCCAGGGUCUGAUUUCCUUUGUGUGAGCACUCCGCCACUAGGGGUUCUUUGGCUGGCAAGAGAAACUAGAGAAGUUUUGCUUCCAGGAGGGGAGAGGAGUGGAAGAGGUGGUAAAGGAGAGGGAGCAGUCAUUUCUUCAGUCAGAGUCACAGAGCUGUACCACUCAGGAUUUAGUAGCGGCAGUUGGAAGCCUCACGGACAAUACAACUGAUUGUCACCCACCGUGUGCCAGUCUCCUCUUACAAACUUAUGUUACAGAAAAGGAAACUGAGGCCCAAAGAGGCAUCAGUUGGUGCUGAGCUUCGUUUUGAAUCCAGGCUGCAGGGCUCUGCUCCCAGACUAGCUACUGCGCCCUGAGACUUCCUUUAGGGAAACUCGCUGAUCUGAUGACCCUGCCAUCUGCUCCAGCUGGUCUGGCUCAAGGCAGUCAGGGUUGCAGAGAAGGGGAGCAGGAGAGCACCCAGGAUUAGGAAGGGGAACUUGCCACUCAAAGGACCGCAGCCAAGCCUAGUGGAGGUGGCAAAGGCAGCUCCCAGGAUCUAUCCUGUCCUGUGUGAUUUUUUUUUUUAAGAGAUGGAGUCUCACUCUGUCACCCAAGUUGGAGUGCAGUGUCAUGAUCAUAGCUCACUGUAACC
rnacentral:lncRNA from 1 species